GUACCUUUACAGUAACAUUGAAGGCUUGUAUCUUCCUCAGAAGCACAGACCCUGCCUAGUUGCAUGUGAGGUAGGGAUUUUGGUACCCACCUUUAGUCCCAGCACUGGAGGCCGGCGGAUUUCUGAGUUCGAGGCCAGCCUGGUCUACAAAGUGAGUUCCAGGACAGCCAGGGCUAUACAGAGAGACCCUAUCUCAAAAACAAAACCAACCAAACAAACAAACGAAAAACAAAAAAACCCAACAACAACAAAAGUUGUAAGUUCAGUACUGCCUUUAAAUGGACCUUAAUGACUGAGAAAAUAUUCCUCCCUCCCUCCCCUCUCCUUGUUCCUUUCCCUCCCCUGUUCUCUCUCCCCCCUUUCUUUCUUUCUCUCUCUAGAUAAAAGCAGAGCCAGGUAGUGGUUUCACACCUCUGUCACAGCACUUGUGAGGCAGAUGUAGACAGAUCUCUGAGUUCAAGGCUAGCCUGGUCUAUAGAGUUCCAGGACAGCUA
rnacentral:lncRNA from 1 species